GAUGAACGCUGGCGGCAUGCCUAACACAUGCAAGUCGAACGAAGCGCAUGAUGUAGCUUGCUAUGGAUUGUGACUUAGUGGCGAACGGGUGAGUAAUGCAUGAGCAACCUGCCCUUCAGUGGGGGACAACAGUUGGAAACGACUGCUAAUACCGCAUAACAUUUUCGGAAGGCAUCUUCUGAAAAUCAAAGAUUUAUUGCUGAAGGAUAGGCUCAUGUCUGAUUAGCAAGUUGGUGAGGUAACGGCUCACCAAGGCGACGAUCAGUAGCCGGGCUGAGAGGAUGAACGGCCACAUUGGGACUGAGAUACGGCCCAGACUCCUACGGGAGGCAGCAGUGGGGAAUAUUGGGCAAUGGGCGAAAGCCUGACCCAGCAAUGCCGCGUGAAGGAAGAAGGCCUUCGGGUUGUAAACUUCUUUUACCGAGGACGAAGAAAUGACGGUACUCGGCGAAUAAGCUCCGGCUAACUACGUGCCAGCCGCCGCGGUAAUAC
rnacentral:rRNA from 1 species